rnacentral:rRNA from 1 species
UGAUUAUGACGUACUUGUACUGAUUGAGAUUUUAACACGAAGUGAGUGGCGAACGGGUGAGUAACACGUGGGUAACCUGCCCAGAAGUAGGGGAUAACACCUGGAAACAGAUGCUAAUACCGUAUAACAGAGAAAACCGCAUGGUUUUCUUUUAAAAGAUGGCUCUGCUAUCACUUCUGGAUGGACCCGCGGCGUAUUAGCUAGUUGGUGAGGUAAAGGCUCACCAAGGCAGUGAUACGUAGCCGACCUGAGAGGGUAAUCGGCCACAUUGGGACUGAGACACGGCCCAGACUCCUACGGGAGGCAGCAGUAGGGAAUCUUCCACAAUGGACGCAAGUCUGAUGGAGCAACGCCGCGUGAGUGAAGAAGGGUUUCGGCUCGUAAAGCUCUGUUGUUAAAGAAGAACGUGGGUAAGAGUAACUGUUUACCCAGUGACGGUAUUUAACCAGAAAGCCACGGCUAACUACGUGCCAGCAGCCGCGGUAAUACGUAGGUGGCAAGCGUUAUCCGGAUUUAUUGGGCGUAAAGCGAGCGCAGGCGGUCUUUUAAGUCUAAUGUGAAAGCCUUCGGCUCAACCGAAGAAGUGCAUUGGAAACUGGGAGACUUGAGUGCAGAAGAGGACAGUGGAACUCCAUGUGUAGCGGUGAAAUGCGUAGAUAUAUGGAAGACACCAGUGGCGAAGGCGGCUGUCUGGUCUGCAACUGACGCUGAGGCUCGAAAGCAUGGGUAGCGAACAGGAUUAGAUACCCUGUUAGUCCAUGCCGUAAACGAUGAUUACUAAGUGUUGGAGGGUUUCCGCCCUUCAGUGCUGCAGCUUACG